AGGUGUGGUCCACCGGAGAAGAAGACCGAAGUUAAGGCUUCAGUGAUGCGUUGGGACUCUCUCAACCUUCUGAUUCAUUUGAAAUAUUUUAAUCUUGACCGUUCCUUGUGAUUACCAUCCCUAUGACACGUUGACUGAGGUGUAUGGUAUGAAGCACACGCUUGGCCAUCAGAUUUUCCACCUAAAUUAAUGAGGGAGAUCUGAUGACCCUUGUUUUUUUUGUAUUUUC
rnacentral:lncRNA from 1 species